UCGAGAAUCUUUCGCAAUGGGGGAAACCCUGACGAAGCGACGCCGCGUGGGUGAUGAAGGCCUUCGGGUCGUAAAGCCCUGUCGGGAGGGAAGAAACACUCCGGACCUAAUACGUCCGGGAAUUGACGGUACCUCCUAAGGAAGCACCGGCUAACUCCGUGCCAGCAGCCGCGGUAAUACGGAGGGUGCGAGCGUUAAUCGGAAUUACUGGGCGUAAAGCGCACGUAGGUGGCGACGUAAGUCGGGUGUGAAAGCCCCGGGCUCAACCUGGGAACCGCAUUCGAGACUGUGUUGCUGGAGUACGGAAGAGGAGGGCGGAAUUCCCGGUGUAGCGGUGAAAUGCGUAGAUAUCGGGAGGAACAUCAGUGGCGAAGGCGGCCCUCUGGUCCAGUACUGACACUCAAGUGCGAAAGCGUGGGGAGCAAACAGGAUUAGAUACCCACGUAGUCCCUGAGCGGGCUGGCAAGGCGCAU
rnacentral:rRNA from 1 species